rnacentral:rRNA from 1 species
UACGGGGGGGGCAAGCGUUGUUCGGAAUUACUGGGCGUAAAGGGCCAGUAGGCGGCCAACUAAGUCCGACGUGAAAUCCCAAGGCUUAACCUUGGAACUGCGUCGGAUACUGGAUGGCUUGAAUUCGGGAGAGGGAUGCAGAAUUCCAGGUGUAGCGGUGAAAUGCGUAGAUAUCAGGAGGAACACCGAUGGCGAAGGCAGGUCUCUGGGCUGACACUGACGCUCAUGCACGAAAGCGUGGGGAGCAAACAGG